rnacentral:lncRNA from 10 species
CCGCCCCGCCAGAGAUUUGUAAAGCGCGCGGCACGGAUGUACCAUUCAAGCUAAUACCUAUAGACAGAUGUGUCCCCAGUGGUUUCAAAGUUUCCUCUUCCCUUCACCAGCCGGCCCCCUUCUCUGAUCGGCGGGGGUGGGAAGCGGGGGCUCGCAUCGCCAAGAGCUCUGGUCGUGGCCACGCUCCUUGGAAAUCCGCCACCGCAACUUUCCGCAGCCGUUGCGCGCCGGCGGCAGCCCCCUUUGUUUAAGUUCUCGGAUGCCAUCAUCUGGGAAACCUGCAGCCCAGGACCAGCGCGGUGCCCGCGCGUGCGAGACGGACCGCUCGCUGCCGCCGCUCCCUGGCUCCUCCACCCCCUCUCUCCCUCCUUCGCUCUCCCUCCCUUCCUCCCUCCUCCCUCCUCUGGGAUUCGUGCAAGUAGCGUGCGUGCCCUUGUGAGUUUGGAGGGUGCCGGUCAGCGGAGCCGUGCGAUGUAUUUGAAAAGCAAUCAGUCCGACCUUCCCCCAUAGAUUCAUCACUAGUGGAGAGCUGGGCUUCGAGGCGUCAGUGUGAAGGGAAGGCUAAGGACGCAUCGGUGCUGGAGAGUUGAGAAUAUGCCUUCCCCUCCACCCCCAACCCAGUCACCUUAUUUGAAAAAAAAUUAAAAAACACCUUUUAUUUAAAAACCUAACCCUGGAAGUUUGCUCGGGAAGGCAUUCUCUUCCUCUUCCUCCAGCUGCCUGAAAAUCAUAUGCGUGGUUUUUCCUGUUUCCUGCUCUGUAGCUGACAUCAGGGGAGCAACGUGAACACAGGAAAAUGGAAAUCAACAUUUGAAACUUUUAAAUGGAAGCUUUAUUGGGGUUCCACAUAUGGAAAACUGCAAAUAGCAGAAGUAUGUGACUCAAUAAAUUAUUCUGGAGUGACCACAUCCUCUAACUGCCUCCCAGGACAAGACGGAGAAUGUGAACAAUGCUCCUGAAGGCCCCUUUCCCUCAAAGAAUCACUGCAAUUGAAGGAAAAAUGCUCCAUGUCCCCUCUGCCAGUUGGUGUUUAUCAAAGGACAACGGAGGAAGAGAGACAAAGUGCCUGGAUGUGUGUGUUAAUCAAGAGUUGUCAGGACCCUGCCUCUAAAAGAAAGCGCUAAAAUGAUGCUUUUGACAAGACUUUUCUCAAAGUGGAUGCAGUCUAAGGGUUGGAAAACAAGGCCCAAUCAGGCUAGGUCUGACUUGUCGCCUGCUUUUGUAAAUAAAGUUUUAUUGGCUCACAGACACACU